CUCAGGGUUGCCCAGUGGUUCGGACGGAUGUCAGGCUUUGAUCCUCAAGAUCUGGGGUUCGAUUCCCCACCGGGUGA